UUAACAUAAUAACUUGCCCGUCAACACAUUGA
rnacentral:scRNA from 1 species